UGUUUGAGAUAAAUCAAAGAGAGCAAGCAUGCUUCAGGCAUUAGAAAGAAUUAAAGACUGAAAACAUAAUAUUUUGAAUGAUUUAAAAAAAAAUUAAGUUGUGGCCAACAGCUCUAAUAUUAGUCAUGUUUUAAACAUGGUUGGUAUCACUUUAACUUCUUUAGAGUUUUGAGGCAACAUGCUCAAUUGCGGAUCAGUGAUGCAUAUUAAAUUCUUGAAAUUUGGCCUUAGGUUACAUAUAAAUAUUCAAACCUUUUAGAAGUCAAUUCUGUUUGCAUGCAAAUACAUGAUUAUUUGGGCAUACCAUCUUUAACCUUAGACUCUUUACAAAUAAUAGUCAACCAAAACUGAUGGAUAUUGAAAUCUUUGGACGUGCUUGUGAGGAUUAUCAUAACGUAGGACAUACAUUUAUAAGUAAAGAGUGUGUGGGAGCAAAUGAAAAAAGUGGAAUUAUGAAUUCAGCUGUUGCAUCUGGAAGAGAUCCAUUGUUUCAGGUGGCAUUUAGCUGUUGAUCAAUCAUACACAGAUUACCUGAAUGCCCAGCGGCAUGAUGUUCUCCCACCACGAGGAAUAAUAUUACACUCUGCUGUACUAACAUCAAGAUGUAAACAACUCAAUCAGGUUGAAACAUUCUGGAGGAAAGUAGGAGACAAAUAUGAACUAGAUCAUAUGCAGUAUAAUAUUAAAAUUAGAUUACUUAAUAGAGUUCGAUCAACCAAAAAGGUUAUUUUUCGAGUCUUCCUUGUGAAAGAAAAAUUUGUACAAGAGAUGAAUGUGGGUGGCCUAGAAACCUAGCUUUACCUAAGGGAAAAAGUCAGGCUCCUGAAAACUUCAGGACUCCAGGUAGGAGCAUAACGGGAAUUUCAGUUAGGUCCUCUCGGAGAAGUGAUCAAGUCCUCUAGAUUUACGUCCUCCUUGUGAAACCUCUUCCACACUAAUCCUGGCAUAUUAAUUCAAGGUGUUAAAGAUGGGCGUCAAGUAGAGAUUUAAAGAUAUUUAGAGAUUUUGCAUCCUUGAUUUCAAUAGAAUUAUUGCAUUUGUGCAUUCUCUCUCAAAUCCAAAUGUAAACGAGGGAGAGCUACUUCCACCAACCUUAAUGUGCGGUGAUGGAACAGGAAGAAUUACAAUGGAUAAUAGAGCAUUUGGAUUUCCAAUAGAAAGACAAUGGGUUGGGAUAAAUAAACGGAAUGUUAUAAAUAACAAAGAUAGUUUAUUUGGACGCAUCUCUUCCACAGUUAAAAUAAUUAAUAGAGGAUUGAAUCCAAGUAGUUGCGCGGAUGCUAAAUUCUUCAAUGGACGCCUCAGUUUGUACGUUAACUAACUGUUGUUUACCGGAAACCAGUUGAUAGGAAAAUGUAUCUGAUACGUCAGUAACAGCUUCAAGAAACCCUAUCCCGCGUACCUCUUCAAAUAGUGCAUAAACUGUAUUUACUCCUAAUUGUUUAUUUUUAUUUGUGUAUUUCUCCAGAUGCUAGUAUUUAUAGUGGCUGUUUUUUA